AUUUUUAAUGGGUUCUGGGAGAUACUUCUUGCAGUGACCAGGGAUUUUGCUGGGUGAAUGGCAUCCUGUCAUUCUUUUUCCUUAUUUUUAUUCUGACAGUCUUGGAAAUUGUCUGUGCUCUUCCUACAUGAUGUGCCCUUGGAGAAGGGCAUUCAGCAUCCUGCAUCUGUCACAUAAAUACCAUCUUCCGUGUUGCAAAGCUGCUACUCCUUCCCUGCUGUUUCCUUAAUCAGCACCUAUGGCAAAGCAGCAGGGCAGGGGAUGCCAGUGAUUGUGACUAGGUUCUUGCAUGCUUUUAUGGGAAUGAUACUGGCUAGUUUCUGCAGGUCCUGCUAAAUCCAGGAGGGUACAGAGAGAUGGGACAGUGCCCACACCACAGAGAGGAAUCCUUGUGGAAAAUGAAGAGCAGGAGGGUGACAAGUCCCCCUUUCAUGCUUGCGGGAACAGUUUUGCAUCUUCUCGCUGGAUUGUUUGACAGAAUAUCAGAGCCUUGAACUUCAUUCCAAGAACUUGAGGAAAUCUCAUGUCUCCCUGCCAUUUUCCAGCCUCUCUCAUCUGAAAGAACAAACCCUAUCUCUCCCUGCCUGAUGCCGUCUGAAUUUCCUCCGGGAUUAUCUAAACAGUGCCACGUGACCCAU
rnacentral:lncRNA from 1 species